rnacentral:rRNA from 1 species
GACGAACGCUGGCGGCGUGCCUAAUACAUGCAAGUAGAACGCUGAAGAGAGGAGCUUGCUCUUCUUGGAAGAGUUGCGAACGGGUGAGUAACGCGUAGGUAACCUGCCUUGUAGCGGGGGAUAACUAUUGGAAACGAUAGCUAAUACCGCAUAACAAUGGGUGACCCAUGUCAUUCAUUUGAAAGGGGCAACUGCUCCACUACAAGAUGGACCUGCGUUGUAUUAGCUAGUAGGUGAGGUAACGGCUCACCUAGGCGACGAUACAUAGCCGACCUGAGAGGGUGAUCGGCCACACUGGGACUGAGACACGGCCCAGACUCCUACGGGAGGCAGCAGUAGGGAAUCUUCGGCAAUGGGGGCAACCCUGACCGAGCAACGCCGCGUGAGUGAAGAAGGUUUUCGGAUCGUAAAGCUCUGUUGUAAGUCAAGAACGAGUGUGAGAGUGGAAAGUUCACACUGUGACGGUAGCUUACCAGAAAGGGACGGCUAACUACGUGCCAGCAGCCGCGGUAAUACGUAGGCCCCGAGCGUUGUCCGGAUUUAUUGGGCGUAAAGCGAGCGCAGGCGGUUUGAUAAGUCUGAAGUUAAAGGCUGUGGCUCAACCAUAGUUCGCUUUGGAAACUGUCAAACUUGAGUGCAGAAGGGGAGAGUGGAAUUCCAUGUGUAGCGGUGAAAUGCGUAGAUAUAUGGAGGAACACCGGGUGGCGAAAGCGGCUCUCUGGUCUGUAACUGACGCUGAGGCUCGAAAGCGUGGGGAGCGAACAGG